rnacentral:tRNA from 1 species
CUCUAGCUAGUCUAGUGGCUAGGAUUCCUGGUUUUCAUCCAGGCCAACCAGGUUCAAUUCCUGAGCAGAGA